UACGUAGGGUGCAAGCGUUAAUCGGAAUUACUGGGCGUAAAGCGUGCGCAGGCGGUUGUGUAAGUCAGAUGUGAAAUCCCCGGGCUUAACCUGGGAACUGCGUCUGAUACUGGGAGGCUUGAGUAUGGGAGAGGGAUGUAGAAUUCCAGGUGUAGCGGUGAAAUGCGUAGAUAUCUGGAGGAAUACCGGUGGCGAAGGCGGCAUCCUGGACCAUUACUGACGCUGAGGCGCGAAAGCUAGGGGAGCAAACGGG
rnacentral:rRNA from 1 species